rnacentral:rRNA from 1 species
AACGAACGCUGGCGGCAGGCCUAACACAUGCAAGUCGAGCGAGGACUUCGGUCCUAGCGGCGGACGGGUGAGUAACGCGUGGGAACGUGCCCUUUGCUUCGGAAUAGCCCUGGGAAACUGGGAGUAAUACCGGAUGAGCCCUUUGGGGGAAAGAUUUAUCGGCGAAGGAUCGGCCCGCGUUGGAUUAGGUAGUUGGUGGGGUAAUGGCCUACCAAGCCGACGAUCCAUAGCUGGUUUGAGAGGAUGAUCAGCCACACUGGGACUGAGACACGGCCCAGACUCCUACGGGAGGCAGCAGUGGGGAAUCUUAGACAAUGGGGGAAACCCUGAUCUAGCCAUGCCGCGUGAGCGAUGAAGGCCUUAGGGUUGUAAAGCUCUUUCAGCGGGGAAGAUAAUGACGGUACCAGCAGAAGAGACCCCGGCUAACUCCGU